UGGGUGGGGUGGUUCGUUUGUAGUUUUCCCUGAAAUUAUUUAAUAGGCUACGCAUGAGCUGGCGUUCUAGGGCGGGGUGUCCGGCGACGGUUUCAUUUUACGCAAAAUGCCCAAUGAAACCCUGCACUACUCUCCGUUGCUACUGAGAAGGUGAAAGGAAUUGCAGUUGGCGAGCCUUUUCAGGAUUUAGCUGCUUGCUGAAGGAAGGAGGAAGGAUGGUAGAUUGUCUGCAGGAAUUAUGCCUUUAAGCUUGUAGGAUAGUCUCUAACAACUUAAAAGUACUUUAUGUUUGAUCUUGUAAUGACUUAGUUUUUUAUGUUUCUAUAUUCUCCCUUUUGCUU